AAAGGAGCUAGGCUGCUUGUAUAAGUGUGCGAGAGAGAUAAACACCCCCACAGUGGCCUAGCUGUCAUAAUCCAAGUCACACUGUCCACCUUUCCUGAGGGGGCUGAGCUAUGUGCUGAUUUGUGGGAUUGCAACAACUGAUGCUUGCUAGCAAAGUUGUUAUGUGUUCUCUCUCUCUCUCACACGCACACACAGAGGUUACACAAGAAAUGUUUGCAACUGAGGAAGCUGGAAUGCUGAAGUUAAGAAAAAAAUCAAGCCUUGAAUACCAGCUAGUUUGAGCAACUCAUUUAAAACCCCAAACACCAACUGCUAUCCCAAACGUGCUCCAUCAUUGGGUUAUGAGGGAUCUGCAAUGCCUACAGCACUUUUGUGGAAUUGUGUGAUCUGCUGUGCCACUACCUUGAACCUUAGAUGUGGAUGUGCCCGCAAAUGAAUCACUUAUCACUUGGGAGAGAUCUUCCUAGAAGUACAAGACUGAGGUUUUAGCAGUGAUCUGACAGCUCAAUAUUUCAGUCCUGUUCUUCUAGAAUGGUCAUUCCAAUGCUUGAGACUCAGUCCAAUUCCUUCUUGUGGCUUUGAAAGUGGAUUUCCAUGUGCAGCCUUGACCUCAAAACCUUCAAGACAUUCUUCUGGAUUGCAGUCAUGGUCAUCAGAGAAUCCACCUUUUCAUCCCAAAUGAAAUGGUACUUUCCAGAUGAAGAUUGUGGUAACUUUGAAUCUCUUUCUUAUAGGGUCCAGGCUGGUGACAUGUUAUAUGGAGUCCUCACCUCAGCCCUGCAGAGAUUACCAUGGAAAGAUCUGAAGCCCUAUUAUCAUUUCUUCUGGUCUCCUCCAUGCUGGCAAGCCCUACCUGUAAAGGAAAUUCUAGGGGCAGCUGCAGCCUGGAGAGUCCCUGGAGUGAGGCUGCUUGGGGCAGGAUGUGCACCAGGGGCCCAGAGCUGGGAACUGCAGGAUUUGGGGGCAGCAUGUUUCAGCAAUGCAAUAAGGUGGGGAAUCUCUGUGAGGGGAGCAUAGCAGAAUUCUCCCUGGCUUUAGUUUCCUCUCACUGGGAUUUUACCAUGCAAGGAUGUGAUCUGCCCCAUGUAUAUUAGAAGGGUAGGGUACUACCAGAGCUAGCUAUAUAUUUACUAACAAAGAUUUAAGCGUAUUUAAAAAUAAAUGCUUAAAGCGGUUAAGAAAAACUUGAUGCUUUUGUUGUUUUUGGUGAACCCGGCUGCUGUCUCUCUGUGUGGGCUGCUAUUGCAAUUACACAGCACUGCACUUAGUAGUGUUCAUCCCACAGUUUGGCCGGGCCACAGAAACAUUUUUUUGGGCACUGUUGAAAGUUCCUUUCCUAGAGAUUGAGGCAUAACAGCCUAAAUUUUCGGUUACACUAAGGCCCCUUUACACUUCUCUGGCAGUGCAAAAGGGCCUUUGGGUGGGUGGAGAUGUAACUUAUCCCUCCUUUAGUAUAACUGAGACUUCAGUUGAGUAAUUCAGCAAGCCCCAUGGAAUCCUAAUUCAGAAGAAACAAAAAGCAGGCCACCUGCAUGGCUGGAACAGAUUGUCUUUUGGAAAUAGCUGUUCUGUAUUAACAGCCUCUGAACAGUUGCCGGGUGCUCAAUUGCCAGCUGCCACGAAUCAUUCCUUUGAAGAAAAAAAGAAAAGUCUACCUGUCCUGCUGUCUGGGGUGUGAGGGGAGAUGUGUGAGCUCCUUCACUUGAAGUGCAAGCCCAUUCAGGAGAAAAUAUUGCCAUUCACUCAUUCUGUAAUUUACCCAAACAACCACAACACCUGCUUGAAACCUCUGGGCCUCUGUCGGGGGGUCCACUCACUGCAGGUGGUACCUCCUCCUGGCCACGCUGGGGAUUAGUCCUUUCCAGGUCCAAGGCCAUCUUCUGCUGCUGGCUGCAUAGCCUGUUGCUGCGCGCGCUCUCUCUCUCUCUCUGCAACUCAGGAUGCUCCCUCUCAGUGACUUGGCCCUCUGGCAAGGUUACUAUGUGUGUUCCCCUCUUCCAGGGUUUCAAAGUCUUUCCUCACCAGCAGUCUUAGGCAGUCUGCUCAUUCAUUAUCCCUAUGGUACUACUUCCCCAGUGGCUGCCAAGGGAAACCAAGCCCACCCUCUACUCCGUCUAUCAGCUCAGGGAUCCGCUACUUAACAGCUAACGUCUACACCACCCUGAACCCCACUGCCUUUCCCCUGAGCCUUUUCUACUCCUCCUGGCUCCCCACACACUGGGUUUGCCAGCCCAAACUUCCUCCUCCCAGCAGAUAACUGCAGACUAAUGUCUAUUGCCCCCAACACUCCUCCCUUCCUCCAUAGAGCAAAGCAGACUUCUCCCCUACAGUACUUUUCUGCUAUCCGCUCCCUGGCUUUAUAGACGUGCCUCCUGUUCUUGCACAGUUGAGCUUCCCCUAAUUAGGACUCUCCUCUUAGCCUUAAUUCCCCCAUCUUAUAGCCUAACAGAUUAAUUGGCCCCUCUGGCCUACAUUUACCUCUUCAGGGUUAGUGUAGGGCAGACACCCUACCAUAGCCUCUCAGUGUGUUUUGACUUGUCUUUCUCUUUAGAUUCUAAGUUCCUUGGGGCAGGAGCUGUGUCUUCUGCAUCUUUUUCAGAGCAAAGUAUUCUGUCAAUAUGGAUCAAGGGCUCCAUAUCUUCAGCACAAAAAGAAAUAGAAUCUUCAAAUGUAUUUGUGGAAUUUUAAGGUUCUUCCCAUUUUAUCUAUCAGAGGUUUGUCAAACAGAGUCACACCUUGGUGGAGCUAUAAGUGGACUGGACUGGAACCUGACUUGGUUGGAGGACCAAGGCAUAAGAGGAGGCAGCUGCUGCUGCAGGAGGGAGAGAAUUACCAUGCCAUGCCUGGCUGCGAAGAGGUGUCAUGGGCUCAGUGGCCAAUACUCACCCACCCACAGGGAAUCUGGAGCCUGUACAGCACUAACUCAGAAACCAGAGGAUGAGCAGACCUCUUGUAACAAUACCAAGUUCCUUUGUUCUGCAGCUGCAUUCAAAAACAAAAGGCCAGGACGGGAAACUGGCUGUUCACAAACAGUACAGAGCAUACAGAACUUGUAACUUUGCCGCCAUCUGGGACUGGUGCAAAUGAGACUAACCCAUGUUGAGAAUAACUAAAAGGGACUAAAAAUUGGUGAAAAUGUAUGCUUACAUAGGAGGUAGAGUGAAGUGCUUUCUUGCAUCAUUCGCAAAGAUGGUUGCAAACCAUAAACUAAGAAUCUGGAUUGCAAACACCACAAAAUUUGGACAUGGGAUCCAGGUGUUUGGUUCAGUCCAUUAUAAAGAUAAGGAGACAUCUGCAAAACCUGACUCUGGAUCUCAGUUUGGAUUUCCAAUGCCUCUCUCCUUGACUCAUCUUGCCUAGUCUCUUCUGGCAGUGAUUUUGACCUACCAUAUGAAUGGUUAUCCUGGGAACAUUUUGCAAAGAAGGACCUUCCUUUGGAUCCAGAACUGUGCAAGUAACUCUCAUAAAAAUUUCCUCCUCAAAAAGUGAUGAUUUAAAAAAUGUGCCUGACCCUGGGAGAAAAUUAUGUGGCGACUGGCCACAGGCUGAGGAAUCGUCUAUACUGACCAAUGGACACAGAGGAUCAAACUCCAAACACUGUGUACGUGGAUGGUGUUCGCUGAAAGGCUAAUUAUUCAAUAUUUCUUUUUAUUGUCAUUAUUCAAUAUAUGGCCCCCAACACAUAUUUACCACAUGCCAUCCAAACCCUGCACUGGAUACAGUUAUACAUUUCCUAAUGGAGCUUUCUAUAGAGUCCUCACCACAGAAUUUGAGUGAUUCACAAACAUAAAUGAAUUUAUGUUCACAACACCCUUAUGAGAUUAGGUGGUAUUAUCCCCAUUUUACAGCUGCGGUGGUGAAGCAGCAUGAUAGGGCCAAAAUUAUCAAAAUUGUCCACUAAUUUUAGAUGUUCAACUUCAGACACAAGACCCUCAUUUUCCAAUACUUAUCAUUUUAUACCUUUAUCUUUAUAUGUUCAAGCACAGCUCCCAUUGACGUUAGUGGCAAUUGUGAGUGGUCAGCCAUGAUGAGGUGUCACCCCAUACCAGCCCUGAAGGGGUUAAGGUGGCCCAGAAGAGCCAAUUAAUCUUUACAAAUGCACCUGAAGGGAGGCCCAGGGAUUUAUAACUACUAAUUGCUGAUG